rnacentral:rRNA from 1 species
UACGAAGGGGGCUAGCGUUGUUCGGAAUCACUGGGCGUAAAGCGCACGCAGGCGGAUUGAUAAGUCAGGGGUGAAAUCCCGGGGCUCAACCUCGGAAUUGCCUUUGAUACUGUCUGUCUUGAGUCCGGGAGAGGUGAGUGGAAUUCCUAGUGUAGAGGUGAAAUUCGUAGAUAUUAGGAAGAACACCAGUGGCGAAGGCGGCUCACUGGACCGGUACUGACGCUCAUGUACGAAAGCGUGGGGAGCAAACAGG